ACGAACGCUGGCGGCAUGCCUAACACAUGCAAGUCGAACGAGACCUUCGGGUCUAGUGGCGCACGGGUGCGUAACGCGUGGGAACCUGCCCUUAGGUUCGGAAUAACUCCCCGAAAGGGGUGCUAAUACCGGAUAAUGUCUUCGGACCAAAGAUUUAUCGCCUUUGGAUGGGCCCGCGUUGGAUUAGCUAGUUGGUAGGGUAAAAGCCUACCAAGGCGACGAUCCAUAGCUGGUCUGAGAGGAUGAUCAGCCACACUGGGACUGAGACACGGCCCAGACUCCUACGGGAGGCAGCAGUGGGGAAUAUUGGACAAUGGGCGAAAGCCUGAUCCAGCAAUGCCGCGUGAGUGAUGAAGGCCUUAGGGUUGUAAAGCUCUUUUACCCGGGAUGAUAAUGACAGUACCGGGAGAAUAAGCUCCGGCUAACUUCGUG
rnacentral:rRNA from 1 species